UUAUUCCAACUAUUUUCAUACUUAUGACUAGAAAAACGCAAGAGCUGUACUGUAUUCUCUUGCAUUUUCCAAAGUUGCUGAACUCGUUCCACAUUUGUCACCGUUACGGAUAAUGACGGACUAUGAACAAGCAUUGAUAAAUACCUUGGAAAUUCAAUAUCCUUUAGCUGAAAUUUCAGGCUGUUGGUUUCAUUACGUAAAUGCUGUGGUUAACAAGUGUAAACAUCUUGGAUUGUUUGGAUUUUUAAAAUUGCAAGUUCACAGUGAUUUGAAGAAAUGGAUAAGACUAUUAUUGUGUCUUUCUUUGCUACCGCCUCACCAUAUUCAGCCAACAUUAGGCAAUUUGAAUCCAAAUUUGUUUGUGGUAUCAUUAAGCAUAAAUGACUUCGCAAAAUGUCAAAGUUUAAUGACCUAUAUGGAAACAUUUUGGAUUGGGCGUAUUGGCAGUAACAAAAUUUCUGUUUUUGGUUGUCCCAGAAGAACGAACUCUGAUCAAGAAAGCUUCCAUGCCUCGCUUUUAAAACGAAUAAAGAUUGCUCAUCCAAACAUUUGGCUUUUUAUAAAAAGUAUUUACGACAUCUUAUCUUGUUUCAUGAAAAUCAGCCUCUUUUUUACGUUAGAUGUGUUUCAAGUGCAUGCAAGCAAACUUUCAAAAGUGCUGAUAGUCUAAAAAAACAUGUUCAACAAAAGCACAGUAAUUUAUUAAGAAGCUGGUCUAAUGAUAAUGAAAGUGAUCAGGGGAGUAGAAAUAAUAGAAAUGAUAACAUCAUAGAUUCAUCUGAAACAACCGAAGAAUCAAAUGAUCAAAAUAAUGUAAAAUUAGAUCAAGAUUUUAAAUGUAAAAAUAUUACUGAUAUGCUUAACUUUUUGGAAAAACAUUUUGCAUUUCUUCUUUUGCGACUCAGAGUAUUCAUGCAGAAAUUGCAAAAGAUAUACAAAACAUACUUUUGAUUACACUAAGUAGUUUUAAGGAUGUUAUAUGUCAAUAUUUAUUCAAAAAUAAUAUUUUUCCACUAGACAAUGAUUGGGCACAUAUAACAGACACAUAGAUUUUAGAAUAAAUAAUACAACUGCUGUUUUUCAAUACAUUUCAAUUCUGGAAGUUUUAUCAAAAUUAGUUUCCCAUGAAGAUGUUUACAAUUGUUUGGGUGACAGUUACAAUCAGUCUCUUUCUAAUAAUGAUUUUAUGAUGUUUUUUUGUGACUGUGAACUUUUUCAUAGUGACAAUUUUUUUUCUGAAAAUCCAAGUGUACUGCAGAGAGAAGGAAUUGAGGUUUCCGUCAAUGAAUUACGUCAACGUUUAAAAAGCAAACUUACAGGUAUAUCAGCUGAUAUGCUUUCAACUCAUGCUAUAGGAGGAUUUCAGCAGUAUUUCCAUACUGGAAGAAUUUGUCGUUUCUGUAUGGUGGACAAGUCAGAAAUUGGAAAUAACUUAAGUGAAAGCACUCUUCGUUUCAGAACACCAGAAAUUCAUGAAUACCACUUAGCUGCUAUAAUUGAUAAUGCAGCAAACAAGAAUGUGUAUGGUGUUAGCAAAAAGUGUGAUUUUUUAGAGUUAGAUAACUUUGAUGUACUUACAGCUUUCCCUCCAGAUAUAAUGCAUGAUUUAUUUGAAGGCAUUAUGCAAGUAACUUUGAAAUGUGUUAUCAAACAUUUGUUACGUUCUUGUAAUACAUUAUCAGUAAAUAAUAUAAACGAUUCUAUAAACAAAAUUCAUUUAAUUAAUUCAUCUAAUCGCCCUUGCCAAUUACCUAAAAAUAUUGCAUCAGAUAAAGCACACAUAAAUGGAACAGCUGUACAGAAAUUAGAACUUUUCCUAUUGUUUCCGCAGUUAGUCGGUAAUGAUGUACCACAUAAAAAUAUUGGCUGGGAGGUUUAUCUUAUACUUCGUGAAAUAUGUGACAUUGUUAUUGCCCCAAUUGUAGAUAGUGACAGUAUAUACAUGUUAAAAGAACUAGUUGCUAUGUUUUUGAAAACAUUUUCUAAAGUAUUUGGUUCUGAAUAUAUUAUUCCAAAAAUGCACAUGCUUGUUCAUUACCCUCGUCUGAUACGUCUUUUUGGGCCUUGACGAAAUUUUUGGUGUUUACAAUUUCAAUCUAAACAUCAGUAUUUUAAAAAAGCUGCCUCAAAUGGACGAUCUUUUAAGAAUAUUACCAAAACAUUGUCAAAGCGUCAUCAAAUGUUGCAGUGCUGGGAAAUGCUGACAGAUGAUAUGCUUUUAUCUAAUUAUACUGUGUCUGGAAACGCACCUAGAUUUUUUCAUAACUUGGAUGUUUAAGUACAAGAAGCUAUAAGAUUGUUACUUAAUUUAGAUAUAGAAGGGAAUGAAUCCAUAGUUAUAGCGAAAUCAAUAUCAGUUGAUAGUAUUUUCUAUUCUAUUAAAGCAGUGAAUGUGUUGCAUACUGUUACAGAAGAAACUGUCCCAAUUUUUUUUAAAGUGGUAUACAUUGUCUGUUUACGUGACUGUUGGUUGUUAUGUGGAAACCUAUUGACACCAAAUUGUUUUUCACAUCAUUUGCAUUCUUAUCAAGUUUUGGAUGAAAAUGAGUGGACAGUGAAGAAGCUGAAUGUGUACAUAGCCAGGUGCAAGAAUUUCCUUUUGUAUAUCAGUUGCCACUUUUUCCGGAUAAUGUUGUAGCUAAGCUACAAUGUCAAGACAAGGCUAGUUUUGGUUUAGGCUCAAAAAGCAAAGCGCUCUUAAUUGAUGCACUAUUUGAUGACUUAAAAAGGCGUGACAUUUUGUAUCCAACCAGAAGAAUAUAUUCUGCUGUUAGCUCAGCAGUUAUAUUAAAAUAUCAUUUUUUGGCUGAUUAUGAUGGAAGUAGUGUAAUGCAAUUACCAUUUUAUAUAUUAUUGA
rnacentral:misc_RNA from 1 species